UACGGAGGGUGCAAGCGUUGUCCGGAUUUAUUGGGUUUAAAGGGUGCGUAGGCGGCCAUUUAAGUCUGGGGUGAAAGCCCGUUGCUCAACAACGGAACUGCCCUGGAAACUGGAUGGCUUGAGUACAGACGAGGGUGGCGGAAUGGAUGCUGUAGCGGUGAAAUGCAUAGAUAGCAUCCAGAACCCCGAUUGCGAAGCAGCUGCCUAGACUGUAACUGACGCUGAGGCACGAAGGCCAGGGGAGCAAACGGG
rnacentral:rRNA from 1 species